AGCAGAUCCCACUUGCGAGCGUAGCACGUUUUUUCCAACCUUUGGUCCUUCUUCGGGGUGAGACAAGUCGUGGUGCCCCUGAGGCUCCCCUGCCUGGGACCUGGGUCAGAGUGGGGGCAUCCGGACUCGAACUGGCGCACUAAGACCGAGUGACCUCGUGUUACCGUCGCUGACACUUGUAGCUGGAGGAGUGGGACCCAGAAGAGUUAAAAGGACUCCAGCGUCCAGGUUUGCUGAGGGCCCGAUGGUGACCUCUUCGCUUUUUUUCUUUUUUUUGUACCGGGGAUCGAACUCACGACCUUGCACUUGCUUGGCAGGCGGCGAAGCCACUGAGCUAAAUCCCCGGCCCUCCUCUUUGCUCUUUGAUGUCUUGAGUCUUGGGUCUCCACCGAGGCCGCCCUAGGGCUGGACGACUGUCCUCCCGUCCCUUCCAGCACGCAGCUCUCUGUGCUAGAAGAGUGUAAAGUGACCAGAACAACCUCCUCAUCCUUUUUCCAAGUAGCGAUGGGAUCAUGAGAGGAGGCGAGGUGUGUGUGCAAGGUCUAAGUCCUGCCUCAGCCUCCCAGAGUGCCAUAAUCUUAGGAACACACCUCAUUUGACUUGCUCAGAAGUGUGGCUUUGGUUACAGGCCUGAAAGAGGAAAGACAUAAUGCUGAUAAGUAAAUUGCGCAAGGUCAAAAUACUAAUAAAUAAGAAUUUGAACCUGGUUUUGAUUCCAAAGUCCAAGAGGACCCUUCAGCUGCAUCCACCCUUCAGUCCACACCGAAACUUUCGGCCAUACCAGGAGCUGUAACUGGAUGAGUUUCCAUCAUUCCUGACAGCAUUCUUUCAUCCCUGCUCGCAACACUCAACAUGUCUGUCUUCUCACCUCCAUUUCUCCAAGUGAGUUCUGAAGGAAAAUGACAGAAACCGUUCUAGAGCAGAACUCGUCCGGAUACUAAGGUGAUAACACCUGCAAGGCAGCGAGGCACCUUCCAGAUCAAUCUCCAGAUGCAGUAAUUGUCUCAGUCUCAGUUUCCCAAUGUUGGACCGAGUACACUUUUGCAUAGGAAAGCAGCAUACAAGUGGGGGUCUGUAUUAAUUUAAACCUAAUCUUGAUAAAUAGUUACUAUAUUGUCAUUGUCUCAAGAUCAAAAUUGCUGUUAAUAUUUCUAUAUUUUGUAGAGGGAAAAGAGAGAGGAAAAAAAUAGUUAUUUUAAUCUAGCAUGGCCAGUGUAGCUAAAAGUGUGCCUUGAUUUAGUAUAAUUGUUUUAUGUGUUUUAUAUGUUUUUGGCUAGUUAAUCUGGCUGUUAAUCUGUGUUUAUAGUUAACUUGGUAAAGACAUAAAAUAAAUAAAUCUAAUGCUGGCCAAAAGAGAGAAAAAAUAUUUUUUAAUUAGGGUGGAAGGGAAGGAGAAAAAAAGAAUUGAGAUGUAUUAUAUGAAUAUACUGAUACCCCACAACAAGUAUAAUCAUAAUAUACUGCAAACAUGCACUAAUAAAAAAUUUUUAAAAUA